rnacentral:rRNA from 1 species
AAUUGACGGGGACCCGCACAAGCAGUGGAUGAUGUGGUUUUAAUUCGAUGCGACGCGAAAAACCUUACCCACCUUUGACAUGUACGGAAUCCUUUAGAGAUAGAGGGGUGCUCGAAAGAGAGCCGUAACACAGGUGCUGCAUGGCUGUCGUCAGCUCGUGUCGUGAGAUGUUGGGUUAAGUCCCGCAACGAGCGCAACCCUUGCCAUUAGUUGCUACGAAAGGGCACUCUAAGUGGGACUGCCGGUGACAAACCGGAGGAAGGUGGGGAUGACGUCAAGUCCUCAUGGCCCUUAUAGGUGGGGCUACACACGUCAUACAAUGGCCGGUACAGAGGGUAGCCAACCCGCGAGGGGGAGCCAAUCCCACAAAGCCGGUCGUAGUCCGGAUCGCAGUCUGCAACUCGACUGCGUGAAGUCGGAAUCGCUAGUAAUCGUGGAUCAGCAUGUCACGGUGAAUACGUUCCCGGGUCUU